AUUUCUGCUUUUAUUUUUACUGUCACAGUAUUGAAAGGUUGGUCUGGUUGAGAGUCUGUAUGCUUGAGGACAUGUUUGUAGGUCUUUCAGGGUACUGUCAUGGUAUUGAAAGGUUGGUCUGGUUGAGAGUCUGUAUGCUUGAGGACAUGUUUUGUAGGUCUUUCAGGGUACUGUCAUGGUAUUGAAAGGUUGGUCUGGUUGAGAGUCUGUAUGCUUGAGGACAUGUUUUGUAGGUCUUUCAGGGUACUGUCAUGGUAUUGAAAGGUUGGUCUGGUUGAGAGUCUGUAUGCUUGAGGACAUGUUUUGUAGGUCUUUCAGGGUACUGUCAUGGUAUUGAAAGGUUGGUCUGGUUGAGAGUCUGUAUGCUUGAGGACAUGUUUUGUAGGUCUUUCAGGGUACUGUCAUGGUAUUGAAAGGUUGGUCUGGUUGAGAGUCUGUAUGCUUGAGGACAUGUUUGUAGGUCUUUCAGGGUACUGUCAUGGUAUUGAAAGGUUGGUCUGGUUGAGAGUCUGUAUGCUUGAGGACAUGUUUUGUAGGUCUUUCAGGGUACUGUCAUGGUAUUGAAAGGUUGGUCUGGUUGAGAGUCUGUAUGCUUGAGGACAUGUU